AUUGAACGCUGGCGGCAGGCCUAACACAUGCAAGUCGAACGAGUGGCGGACGGGUGAGUAAUGUCUGGGAAACUGCCUGAUGGAGGGGGAUAACUACUGGAAACGGUAGCUAAUACCGCAUACCAUCGGAUGUGCCCAGAUGGUAUUGGCUAGUAGGUGGGGCAAAGGCUCACCAAGGCGACGAUCCCUAGCUGGACUGAGAGGAUGACCAGCAGCACUGGAAGUGAGACGGGGUCCAGACUCCUACGGGAUGCAGCAGGGAGGAAUAUUGCACGAUAGGCGCAAGACUGAUGCAGCCAUGCCGAGUAUAUGAAGAAGGACUUCAGGUUGUAAAGUACUUUCAACGGGGAGAAGUUACACGAAGAAGAAGCACCGGCUAACUAGGUGCCAGCAGAAGCGGAAAUAC
rnacentral:rRNA from 1 species